rnacentral:rRNA from 1 species
CAGUCGCCGCGGUAAUACGAAGGGGGCUAGCGUUGUUCGGACUUACUGGGCGUAAAGCGCACGUAGGCGGAUCGAUCAGUCAGGGGUGAAAUCCCAAGGCUCAACCUUGGAACUGCCUUUGAUACUGGAAGUCUUGAGUCCGGGAGAGGUGAGUGGAACUGCGAGUGUAGAGGUGAAAUUCGUAGAUAUUCGCAAGAACACCAGUGGCGAAGGCGGCUCACUGGCCCGAUGCUGACGCUGAGGUGCGAAAGCGUGGGGAGCAAACAGGAUUAGAGACCCCUGUAGUCCCUGUCUCUUAUAC